rnacentral:misc_RNA from 1 species
UGGUUCUGGCAUCGAUGAAGAACGCAGCGAAAUGCGAUAAGUAAUGUGAAUUGCAGAAUUCAGUGAAUCAUCGAAUCUUUGAACGCACAUUGCGCCCUUUGGUAUUCCGAGGGGCAUGCCUGUUCGAGCGUCAUUUAAAACAUCAAGCGCAGCUUUGUCUUGAGCCAGGCCGCCCGGCCGGCUUGCAACUCUCUGGCGGCGACCGCCCGGCUUCAGGCGUAGCAAAAACCUCGCCUUGGAGUGAGCGCGCGGGGCCCGCAGACGUAGUAAACUAUUCAGAGUUUGACCUCGGAUCAGGUAGGGAUACCCGCUGA